UUGAAAAACAUAAUGCGGCUAUGCCAGCCGUGCUUAUUACAAACAUAAGAGUUACGGAAAAACAUAAUGUGACAACAUAACACAUUGCCACAAGUGCAGGUCUCCUCUGAAUUCAAGUUACCACAAACUGCAGAUCAAUCUCCAAGUCAUUCAAGAAAAGGUACAGGUCUCCUCUGAAUAUACAACUCUAAAUCUGAGAACAUAGCACAUAACAAGUAGACAGGCAGGCAUCAUGAUAAGCGCAAUGCUCCAGUCUCGCAAACAUAGCGUUGUGCAGAACAUGAUAAAGCAUAUGCAACCACCUACGACGCAAACUGCGAUCCUGAAGUAGUCACUCACUGCUUCCAGGUGCGCCCAAGAUCAAUCCGACCUCACCUGCCAGAACAGACACCAUAUU
rnacentral:lncRNA from 1 species